rnacentral:lncRNA from 1 species
GGUUCGCUCUCGAUGUAUGUCUGAAUACCAUCAGUAGAUGAUUCUAUAGUCAAAUCAAAUAAAUCACAUGGCUUGAUGUUGACAACAACAUGCCAACUUUUAUCUGUCGGAUCCUCAACAUAGAAAAUUUUCUUUGCUUGAGAUGCCAGGAUAAAAGAUUCAUAUGAUAAGUUCUAUCCGAUAUGAAUUAGCCGUUUGAAGUUG